rnacentral:rRNA from 1 species
UACAGAGGUGUCAAACGUUGUCCGGAAUUACUGGGCGUAAAGGGCGCGUAGGCGGCCUUAUAAGUCAUUUGUGAAAGCUCUGGGCUCAACCCAGGAAUUGCAAGUGAUACUGUAAGGCUUGAGUUCGGUAGAGGAGGGCGGAAUUCCAGGUGUAGCGGUGAAAUGCGUAGAUAUCUGGAGGAACACCGGUGGCGAAGGCGGCAUCCUGGACCAACACUGACACUGAGGAGCGAAAGCCAGGGGAGCAAACGGG